AAAUAAAAGUGAAAUUCUUAUGGCACUUUUAAAACAAUCCAUAUCCACCUUGUGUGCAAUGUUUUUUGAGAAAAAGGCAUAGUCUUUUUUCUCUUUUAACUAUUAUAAACUCAUUUUUAUAAGAAAUCUUGUCUGAUAAUAAUAUUAUUGAAUAACUUAAUUCAUAAAUA
rnacentral:misc_RNA from 1 species